UGACUUACUCAGAUAAAGGACUUUAUGGAAUUGCAGGGCCCUUAAAGACAAAACUUGAAAAUACAAUGAAAAUCAAGAGUAAUACUGAGUUGUUUAAAGCAGUACAGUUAAUUCAAUGAUGAGGAAUUGGAAAGUCACAGCAACAGAUAUCAUCAUUCCCAAUAUUAAAUUGCCUUGCCACAAAUACAAGUUGGAACCAUUAACACCCUCAAAAUUCUCAUAAAAUUGUCAUUUGGUGCAGAAUCAUGACCUGGAGAUAUUUACAGCAUUCUCUUAGCUCAUUAGAAUGACUAUGUUUUGCUGUAGAAACAGUGCUGUUUGAUUCCUAAACUCUGUAAUGGACAUUAGUAAGAAGAUAAAAUAUAUUAUAAAGGCACUUUACUACUCUCCUAUACCUAAAAUUUUCUGAAUUCCCAAAUGCAUCUAACUUAAAGAGUUUAGAUGAGGCACUGUGGGGAAUAUUGUACUUCUUUGGUGAGGUGAGGCUUUUCCUAGAUUCUCCUUCUUUCAGUGCCUUCCUCUGGGCUACCAAUUGUUCCUUAUCAGAAGCUCAUUAUUACCGAUUAAAUAUUUGAAUGGUUCAAAUGUUUCUCCAUCUAUUUUGAGUAGUUUGAGAAGUGAUCAAAUCCUUUUCACCUAGAAGAAUACUUGUGUACUAACUUGGUCUACUAAACUUUACUGAAUGACCAAAAUAGCCAAAAAGAACUGAAUGAAGGGAAGUGAAGACACAAGGUAAAUUUUGCUCUUAAUUCUUUUACAUUGGGCAGGCUUACUAUUUGUGGGGG